UUAAGCGACUAAGCGUACACGGUGGAUGCCCUGGCAGUCAGAGGCGAUGAAGGACGUGCUAAUCUGCGAAAAGCGUCGGUAAGGUGAUAUGAACCGUUAUAGCCGGCGAUGUCCGAAUGGGGAAACCCAGUGCAAUUCGUUGCACUAUCGUUAACUGAAUACAUAGGUUAACGAGGCGAACCGGGGGAACUGAAACAUCUAAGUACCCCGAGGAAAAGAAAUCAACCGAGAUUCCCCCAGUAGCGGCGAGCGAACGGGGAGCAGCCCGGAGUCUGAAUCAGCUUGUGUGUUAGUGGAAGCGUCUGGAAAGUCGCAGGGUACAGGGUGAUACUCCCGUACACUAAAACGCACAGGUUGUGAACUCGAAGAGUAGGGCGGGACACGUGGUAUCCUGUCUGAAUAUGGGGGGACCAUCCUCCAAGGCUAAAUACUCCUGACUGACCGAUAGUGAACCAGUACCGUGAGGGAAAGGCGAAAAGAACCCCGGCGAGGGGAGUGAAAAAGAACCUGAAACCGUGUACGUACAAGCAGUAGGAGCCCACUAGUUGGGUGACUGCGUACCUUUUGUAUAAUGGGUCAGCGACUUAUAUUCUGUAGCAAGGUUAACCGUAUAGGGGAGCCGCAGGGAAACCGAGUCUUAACUGGGCGUUAAGUUGCAGGGUAUAGACCCGAAACCCGGUGAUCUAGCCAUGGGCAGGUUGAAGGUUGGGUAACACUAACUGGAGGACCGAACCGACUAAUGUUGAAAAAUUAGCGGAUGACUUGUGGCUGGGGGUGAAAGGCCAAUCAAACCGGGAGAUAGCUGGUUCUCCCCGAAAGCUAUUUAGGUAGCGCCUCGUGAACUCAUCUUCGGGGGUAGAGCACUGUUUCGGCUAGGGGGUCAUCCCGACUUACCAACCCGAUGCAAACUACGAAUACCGAAGAAUGUUAUCACGGGAGACACACGGCGGGUGCUAACGUCCGUCGUGAAGAGGGAAACAACCCAGACCGCCAGCUAAGGUCCCAAAGUCAUGGUUAAGUGGGAAACGAUGUGGGAAGGCCCAGACAGCCAGGAUGUUGGCUUAGAAGCAGCCAUCAUUUAAAGAAAGCGUAAUAGCUCACUGGUCGAGUCGGCCUGCGCGGAAGAUGUAACGGGGCUAAACCAUGCACCGAAGCUGCGGCAGCGACGCUUAUGCGUUGUUGGGUAGGGGAGCGUUCUGUAAGCCGUUGAAGGUGGCCUGUGAGGGUUGCUGGAGGUAUCAGAAGUGCGAAUGCUGACAUAAGUAACGAUAAUGCGGGUGAAAAACCCGCACGCCGGAAGACCAAGGGUUCCUGUCCAACGUUAAUCGGGGCAGGGUGAGUCGACCCCUAAGGCGAGGCCGAAAGGCGUAGUCGAUGGGAAACAGGUUAAUAUUCCUGUACUUGGUGUUACUGCGAAGGGGGGACGGAGAAGGCUAUGUUGGCCGGGCGACGGUUGUCCCGGUUUAAGCAUGUAGGCGGAUGUUCCAGGUAAAUCCGGAACGUUAUUAACGCUGAGGUGUGAUGACGAGGCACUACGGUGCUGAAGUGACAAAUGCCCUGCUUCCAGGAAAAGCCUCUAAGCAUCAGGUAACAUCAAAUCGUACCCCAAACCGACACAGGUGGUCAGGUAGAGAAUACCAAGGCGCUUGAGAGAACUCGGGUGAAGGAACUAGGCAAAAUGGUGCCGUAACUUCGGGAGAAGGCACGCUGAUGGUAGGUGAAGUGACUUGCUCAUGGAGCUGAAAUCAGUCGAAGAUACCAGCUGGCUGCAACUGUUUAUUAAAAACACAGCACUGUGCAAACACGAAAGUGGACGUAUACGGUGUGACGCCUGCCCGGUGCCGGAAGGUUAAUUGAUGGGGUUAUCCUCGCGGAGAAGCUCUUGAUCGAAGCCCCGGUAAACGGCGGCCGUAACUAUAACGGUCCUAAGGUAGCGAAAUUCCUUGUCGGGUAAGUUCCGACCUGCACGAAUGGCGUAAUGAUGGCCAGGCUGUCUCCACCCGAGACUCAGUGAAAUUGAACUCGCUGUGAAGAUGCAGUGUACCCGCGGCAAGACGGAAAGACCCCGUGAACCUUUACUAUAGCUUGACACUGAACACUGGUCCUUGAUGUGUAGGAUAGGUGGGAGGCUUUGAAGUGUGGACGCCAGUCUGCAUGGAGCCGUCCUUGAAAUACCACCCUUUAAUGGCUGGUGUUCUAACGUGGGCCCGUGAUCCGGGUUGCGGACAGUGUCUGGUGGGUAGUUUGACUGGGGCGGUCUCCUCCUAAAGAGUAACGGAGGAGCACGAAGGUCAGCUAAUCCUGGUCGGACAUCAGGAGGUUAGUGCAAUGGCAUAAGCUGGCUUGACUGCGAGCGUGACGGCGCGAGCAGGUGCGAAAGCAGGUCAUAGUGAUCCGGUGGUUCUGAAUGGAAGGGCCAUCGCUCAACGGAUAAAAGGUACUCCGGGGAUAACAGGCUGAUACCGCCCAAGAGUUCAUAUCGACGGCGGUGUUUGGCACCUCGAUGUCGGCUCAUCACAUCCUGGGGCUGAAGUAGGUCCCAAGGGUAUGGCUGUUCGCCAUUUAAAGUGGUACGCGAGCUGGGUUUAGAACGUCGUGAGACAGUUCGGUCCCUAUCUGCCGUGGGCGCUGGAGAAUUGAGGGGGGCUGCUCCUAGUACGAGAGGACCGGAGUGGACGCAUCACUGGUGUUCGGGUUGUCAUGCCAAUGGCAUUGCCCGGUAGCUAAAUGCGGAAGAGAUAAGUGCUGAAAGCAUCUAAGCACGAAACUUGCCCCGAGAUGAGUUCUCCCUGACUCUUUGAGGGUCCUGAAGGAACGUUGAAGACGACGACGUUGAUAGGCCGGGUGUGUAAGCGCAGCGAUGCGUUGAGCUAACCGGUACUAAUGAACCGUGAGGCUUAACCUU
rnacentral:rRNA from 1 species